CAUCAUCUCCAUACUUGCUAGGAGAUUGAGUAAUUGGUGUCUGGAUAGAAAGGGAAGCCAGAGAAGCGUUUGGGACUCGUGAGCUUGGUUCCCCGGUGUCACACUUGAAAACUGCUAAGCUUAUGCCUUCCCUACGGGCCACGUGCUUUUGUGUUCUUGAAAAUGCAUCAAGAAUUGGGAAACUUACAGUCUGGUUCUAGGUCUGCACAUGCCAAGUGGGGAAAGGCAGCCGGGAGUCCUCAUGAGACAGUCAGAAGGGAAAUGCCGGAAUGCAUGGACACACACUUUAUGGACGGUCAGAAGGGAAAUGCCGGAAUGCAUGGACACACACUUUUAUGGGAUGCAGAGGGUGUGAGCAGAAGCUGCUGCAUCUUCUCGCUGUGUUCCUGAGGGACUUAUUCAUUUAUUCAGCAAGUAUUUCUUUGAGGCAUUGCUGCUGCCAAUCCCUCAUUAGGUAUUCAUUUCCCUGAUUAGGUAUUCAUUCCCCUCAUUAGGUAUGCAGUCACAUGGUCCAGUCACAUGGUCAGCGUCCCUCAUCAUUUAUCCUGUGCACACAGUUCCAGGGAACAAUGAGGCUUAUUCCCGACAGCACCACAGGCGUGAUAGCUCCCUCCCUCCACUAAAUUCUCCUCAUUCUCCGAGGCUAAACCUUUACCCACUGUGAAGAAUUUUCUCAAAUCAUU
rnacentral:lncRNA from 1 species